rnacentral:tRNA from 1 species
GCCUCGGUAGCUCAGUAGGAUAGAGCAUCGGAUUCCUAAUCCGGGGGUCAGAGGUUCGAAUCCUCUUCGGGGCACCA